UACGUAGGUGGCAAGCGUUGUCCGGAAUUACUGGGUGUAAAGGGCGUGUAGGCGGGAAUAUAAGUCAGAUGUGAAAGCCCAUGGCUUAACCAUGGGACUGCAUCUGAAACUAUGUUUCUUGAGUGCUGGAGAGGAAAGCGGAAUUCCUAGUGUAGCGGUGAAAUGCGUAGAUAUUAGGAGGAACACCAGUGGCGAAGGCGGCUUUCUGGACAGUAACUGACGCUGAGGCGCGAAAGCGUGGGGAGCAAAC
rnacentral:rRNA from 1 species